AUACGGUGAAUACGUUCCCGGACCUUGUACACACCGCCCGUCAAGCCAUGGAAGCUGGGUGUACCUAAAGUCGGUAACCGUAAGGAGCCGCCUAGGGUAAAACUAGUAACUGGGCU
rnacentral:rRNA from 1 species